rnacentral:rRNA from 1 species
AUUGAACGCUGGCGGCAGGCCUAACCCAUGCAAGUCGAACGAGUGGCGGACGGGUGAGUAAUGUCUGGGAAACUGCCUGAUGGAGGGGGAUAACUACUGGAAACGGUAGCUAAUACCGCAUACCAUCGGAUGUGCCCAGAUGGGAUUAGCUAGUGGGUGGGGUAAAGGCUCACCUAGGCGACGAUCCCUAGCUGGUCGUAGAGGAUGACCAGCCACACUGGAACUGAGACACGGUCCAGACUCCUACGGGAGGCAGCAGUGGGGAAUAUUGCACAAGGGGCGCAAGUCUGAUGCAGCCAUGCCGCGUGUAUGAAGAAGGCCUUCGGGUUGUAAAGUACUUUCAGCGGGGAGGCGUUACCCGCAGAAGAAGCACCGGCUAACUCCGUGCCAGCAGCCGCGGUAAUUC